AAACCCUAAUUCUAAGGGACAUACCGAA
rnacentral:piRNA from 1 species